GCUGUGCUGCCGAGCAGAGACAGAAACAGAAGGGACCUGGGCUGGCUGGACCAGGAGCUCUUCUCUCACCUGCCUGACCGCACAAACGGGGGAGACCUCUCUGUGGGGGAUGCAGGGGAGGCCGUCAGGGAUGUGGAUGGUCGACCCUCUCAUUCAGAGACUUUCCUUGUACCAACGGACCACCUCUCUCUCCAACACCACCGCCAACCCCACCGUAAAGCCAACGAGAAGAAGAGGAAGAUCGCUCCUCUGGACUCACUCGGCAGCUUUCAAAAGAUCAGUUUCCAGAGCAGAGGGGAUGAGCCAAACGAAGACUGGGAAGACAACAGGGGUUAAAAAAGAAAAACCCACAACAGCUCAGCUCUUUCUCACAUCUUGAUAUAAUGAUAUAUUUGUUGUAUGGAACAUAUUUAUUCAUCAACUGGCUGCCAUACCAACAAGUGAGAGGCCUGUCAACCGUCUCCCUCUGGUGGUAGAAGACGCAAACAUGACAAACACAAUGCUGUGUGCCACUAUUUAAUAAAAUGUGUUAAAAUACCGAUUUCAGGUCUUUUUUGUCUUUUCAGUGCGAAAGAUUCUGAAAACCACCUUUAUGUUCCCAAAGACUUUUAAUUUGUCAAGCUACAAUCAAAGAAAACAAUAUCAGACUGCAGAAAAUAUAGAUUUUGCUUGGGUAUUUUCUCUCUUCACUUUCACAUAUGUACAGUUGUAAAAGAACAGGAUAUGUACACAGAAUUUAAGUUGUAAAGAGAGUGCAACUGCUACUGGAGACUUACCAAGACUCUCCCACGAACCAAAGAAAAGCACAUAAUAAAAACCAAACAACAUAAACAAACGCCACAACCUACGCGGCCUCAACUUAUUUUCUGUACACUACAACUCUGUUCUCGAUGUGAGACAAUCUUAAUGUCCAUUCUCUGAUGCGGGCGUGUCUCUAAAAAAAAAAAAAAAUACCCCCGCUUCUCAGAAAUCUAAGAAAUAAACAAUUAUAUGAAAUAGAAAAUAUUUUACAACCAUUCAUAAAUGAGCCUCUGGGCCGCUUUGACAUUCUAAAGCACGGCCAGACCAUUCGUCGUACAGCAACGUUAAUCCCCCUCAUAGAUAGACAAUGAGCUUUUAAAACAAGAAAACAGAAACAAUAACCACACAUGAAACAAAAACAUCAAAAUUGAACAGCUUUCAAUGUAAAUGUUCGUGGUAAUUGGCUAUCAAUGAUUGAUUAACAAGCCGGACAGGGAGAAACAUUAAGCGCUAAAUCAUGAAUGUACACAGCUACAUGCUACGUAAAGAUUUAAUCGACUGUAGCUAAUCAUUUUCCCAGUACCAUCCAUAUAUGCAGUAGACAUGGUAUUAGGGGUUUAUAGUUAAUAAAAGUGCACUGCUGGAAGAAUUGUCUGUGUGCAAUUUGAUAUUUAGCAAUUUAGAUGCAAAUACAGAUGCAAAAUAAUAAAUGUUAGCUGAUUCAACUUAUUCUAGAGGAGUGAGAUCUCUAAAUUGUAUCCACUGAUCCCCCCCAAAAAGAAAAGGAAACUCAAAAGGUAUAUUGGCAUAACACGACGGAAAAUAAAAUGAGCUGCCCAUCUAGCAUUAUGAUGUACUUCUAAACAAACAACAGAAGUGACGUUUUACAUCUCUUAAUCUAUACAUUUGUUCAAUGUGUAAAAUUUAAAGCCGAGAGGACAAGGCUUUCAAACUGAAACUCCUCAAGGACAGCAAAGUAAAUGUUCACUGAUUUGUCAGUGUCCUCAAAGUCAAAAUGCACCUUCAGUGAAUAUGAGAGCGACCAACACAGUAUAUGACAAAAGCCAAUGAAUGUACAGAUUAAUUAGUAACAAAUAAAUGAUUCUCCGCUGUCUCUGUUGCGUUCUGUUCAGUUCUUCACAAUAGCCAAAUAAAAUAACAGACUAAGAAGUGUAAAAAA